UACGUAGGGGGCGAGCGUUGUCCGGAAUUACUGGGCGUAAAGCGCACGUAGGCGGAUUGUUAAGUCAGAGGUGAAAUCCCGGAGCUCAACUUCGGAACUGCCUUUGAUACUGGCAAUCUAGAGUCCGGAAGAGGUUAGUGGAAUUCCCAGUGUAGAGGUGAAAUUCGUAGAUAUUGGGAAGAACACCAGUGGCGAAGGCGGCUAACUGGUCCGGUACUGACGCUGAGGUGCGAAAGCGUGGGAGCAAACAGGAUGAGAACCCU
rnacentral:rRNA from 1 species